rnacentral:ribozyme from 1 species
UGCCCAGCAAAUCCUAUCCCUACCUCCACGCGGUACCGGCCGGAAACG